rnacentral:rRNA from 1 species
UGGGGAAUAUUGCACAAUGGAGGGAACUCUGAUGCAGCGACGCCGCGUGAGUGAUGAAGGAAUUCGUUUCGUAAAACUCUGUUCUAUGGGAAGAAAAGGACUGUACCAUAGGAGAAAGCUCCGGCUAAAUACGUGCCAGCAGCCGCGGUAAUACGUAUGGAGCGAGCGUUGUCCGGAAUUAUUGGGCGUAAAGGGUGCGCAGGCGGCUUUACAAGUUGGAUGUGAAAUAUUGUGGCUCAACAACAAACGUGCAUCCAAAACUGCAAAGCUUGAGUUAAGGAGCAGUAAGUGGAAUUCCUGGUGUAGCGGUGGAAAGAGUAGAUAUCAGGAGGAAUACCGGUGGCGAAGGAGACUUACUGAACUUAAACUGACGCUCAGGCACGAAAGCGUGGGGAGCAAACAGG